GUAAUCAUUGUUGAUUUAUUUUAUAACCUGAAUACAUCUACAAGUUACAGAAUUUGUUAAUAAUCCUUUCCAUUGCAGGUCUGAUGAUUCUUUCUAGGUUUUCAAGAGGGGUUGAGAAUAAUGGAUUUGAAGUUUUUCUUUAUGUAGGCUUCCCUCUUUCUUGAACAACCUCUAAACAAUCUGUUCUAAAACAUUCACAUUCCAGACUUUCAAUAAGGUAUUAAAUUUAAGCAUAUUACUUAAUUAAGCACUUGUUUUGCAAAUCAUGGC
rnacentral:misc_RNA from 1 species